UACGUAGGGGGCAAGCGUUGUCCGGAAUCAUUGGGCGUAAAGCGCGUGUAGGCGGUUCGGUAAGUCUGCUGUGAAAGUCCAGGGCUCAACCCUGGGAUGCCGGUGGAUACUGUCGGACUAGAGUACGGAAGAGGCGAGUGGAAUUCCCGGUGUAGCGGUGAAAUGCGCAGAUAUCGGGAAGAACACCCGUGGCGAAGGCGGCUGCUCUGGGACGGUACUGACGCUGAGACGCGAAAGCGUGGGGAGCGAACAGG
rnacentral:rRNA from 1 species